UACGGGGGGGGCAAGCGUUGUUCGGAAUUACUGGGCGUAAAGGGUUCGUAGGUGGCCAACUAAGUCAGACGUGAAAUCCCUCAGCUUAACUGGGGAACUGCGUCUGAUACUGGUUGGCUUGAGUGCAGGAGAGGAAUGCGGAAUUCCGCGUGUAGCAGUGAAAUGCGUAGAUAUGCGGAGGAACACCGAUGGCGAAGGCAAUCCCCUGGGCCUGCACUGACGCUCAUGCACGAAAGCGUGGGGAGCAAACAGG
rnacentral:rRNA from 1 species